UACGUAGGGUGCGAGCGUUGUCCGGAAUUAUUGGGCGUAAAGAGCGUGUAGGUGGCUCGGUAAGUCCGCUGUGAAAGUCCAGGGCUCAACCCUGGAAAGCCGGUGGAAACUGUCGAGCUCGAGUCCGGAAGAGGCGAGUGGAAUUCCUGGUGUAGCGGUGAAAUGCGCAGAUAUCAGGAGGAACACCAAUGGCGAAGGCAGCUCGCUGGGACGGUACUGACACUGAGACGCGAAAGCGUGGGGAGCAAACAGG
rnacentral:rRNA from 1 species